UACGGAGGAUGCGAGCGUUAUCCGGAUUUAUUGGGUUUAAAGGGUGCGUAGGCGGAUCGUUAAGUCAGUGGUCAAAUUGAGGGGCUCAACCCCUUCCCGCCAUUGAAACUGGCGAUCUUGAGUGGAAGAGAAGUAUGCGGAAUGCGCGGUGUAGCGGUGAAAUGCAUAGAUAUCACGCAGAACCCCGAUUGCGAAGGCAGCAUGCCGGCUUCCGACUGACGCUGAAGCACGAAAGCGUGGGGAUCGAACAGG
rnacentral:rRNA from 1 species